GUGUUCACUUUGGCAGCACAUAUACUAACAAAUUGGAACAACACAGAGAUUAGCUUGGCCACUGCACUAGAGUGACAUGCACAUUCAUGAAGCAUUCCAUAUUGAA